rnacentral:rRNA from 1 species
AACGAACGCUGGCGGCAGGCCUAACACAUGCAAGUCGAGCGCGCCCCUCGGGGUGAGCGGCGGACGGGUGAGUAACGCGUGGGAACGUGCCCUUUUCUACGGAAUAGCCUCGGGAAACUGAGAGUAAUACCGUAUACGCCCUUUGGGGGAAAGAUUUAUCGGAAAAGGAUCGGCCCGCGUUGGAUUAGGUAGUUGGUGGGGUAAUGGCCUACCAAGCCGACGAUCCAUAGCUGGUUUGAGAGGAUGAUCAGCCACACUGGGACUGAGACACGGCCCAGACUCCUACGGGAGGCAGCAGUGGGGAAUCUUAGACAAUGGGGGCAACCCUGAUCUAGCCAGGCCGCGUGAGUGAUGAAGGCCUUAGGGUUGUAAAGCUCUUUCAGCUGGGAAGAUAAGGACGGUACCAGCAGAAGAAGCCCCGGCUAACUCCGU